AUAAGGACCAAGAAGCAGCAAAGUCUGAAUUUCAUGUAUUGAUUUCAACUAGCCAGCCAAUUCCUUGGCUACAGGCUUCUGGUAACAAAGUAUCUGCUAUCUGGUGGAAGUAUUGCGAAUUUCCCAGAUCUUAUAAACAAUAUGAAUUAUAGUGCUUUUACUGUGACCGACAUUUCCUGGAAGACAAGGACAAGUUUAAUGAACUAAAGCUUAUGAAGAAUGAAUGAAAUCCAGACUUCCCACUGGAAAAGUACUGUGGACACACCUAACUUAACCUGCAAUGGCAAGUGUUAUUAUCAAGGAAUUGGUACAUCAGAAACCAUUCUCUUUACUUGUCUAAUUGGGAUUAUCUGUUCAGCCAGUUUAGCAGGCAAUGUCCUCAUUCUAAUCACUAUAAUAAAGUAUGCAAGAGACUAUCCAGGAAAGAGCGGAAUUGUGAUCCUAAGCGCAUUUAGUCGAGAUCAUGCAGUGGGGUUACAUCUGAAAUGCCAUGAAUUUGGGGGAUCCUCAU